UCAUUGCUCCUGUCCAUCCGCUGCUAUGACGCAGAGAACCCGGAAGACGUGUGUUUGCUGUCAAUGCCAACGACAGAGAGGAGGCACAGCUGAAACCCCGCAUUUAAGACAAGAUGGCAGGACUGCCCCGUAGGAUCCUUAAGGAAACUCAACGUUUGAUUGCAGAGCCUGUCCCAGGCAUCGAGGCAGAGCCAGAUGAAGGCAACGCCCGCUACUUUCAUGUGAUCAUUUGUGGACCUCAGGACUCACCUUUUGAGGGGGGCACAUUUAAACUCGAGCUCUUUUUACCAGAGGAGUAUCCCAUGGCUGCUCCGAAAGUGCGCUUCAUGACCAAAAUAUAUCACCCCAAUGUAGACAAGUUGGGGAGAAUAUGUCUAGACAUUUUGAAAGAUAAAUGGUCACCAGCUCUGCAGAUUCGCACAGUGUUGCUGUCAAUCCAGGCAUUACUAAGUGCACCCAACCCUGAUGAUCCCCUUGCAAAUGACGUUGCAGAGAAGUGGAAGUCCAAUGAAGUUGAAGCCAUAGAAACAGCCAGGUCAUGGACCAGGCUUUAUGCUGGAAGCAGAAAUGAAGUGUAAAGCAGCUCAACAAGUGGAAAUCAAGUGCGAUUCCUUAUGCUCUGCCAAGACCUCUUCCUACUUCAUUUACAUUUAAAGGACACCGUCUUGAAUAUAUAUAAACAUAUAUAUAUAUAUAUAUAUAUUAUAAAAUAAACGUGAAUAUAUGGUAAA